rnacentral:rRNA from 1 species
UGGGGAAUAUUGGACAAUGGGCGAAAGCCUGAUCCAGCCAUGCCGCGUGUGAAGAAGGUCUUCGGAUUGUAAAGCACUUUAAGUUGGGAGGAAGGGCAUUAACCUAAUACGUUAGUGUUUUGACGUUACCGACAGAAUAAGCACCGGCUAACUCUGUGCCAGCAGCCGCGGUAAUACAGAGGGUGCAAGCGUUAAUCGGAAUUACUGGGCGUAAAGCGCGCGUAGGUGGUUUGUUAAGUUGGAUGUGAAAGCCCCGGGCUCAACCUGGGAACUGCAUCCAAAACUGGCAAGCUAGAGUACGGUAGAGGGUGGUGGAAUUUCCUGUGUAGCGGUGAAAUGCGUAGAUAUAGGAAGGAACACCAGGGGCGAAGGCGACCACCUGGACUGAUACUGACACUGAGGUGCGAAAGCGUGGGGAGCAAACA